rnacentral:rRNA from 1 species
CGUAGGGUGCAAGCGUUGUUCGGAAUCAUUGGGCGUAAAGCGCGUGUAGGCUGUCAGGCAAGUCGGGUGUGAAAUCCCUGGGCUCAACCCAGGAAGUGCAUUCGAAACUACCUGGCUAGAAGAUGGUAGAGGAAGGUGGAAUUCCAAGUGUAGAGGUGAAAUUCGUAGAUAUUUGGAGGAAUACCGGUGGCGAAGGCGGCCUUCUGGACCAUUCUUGACGCUGAGACGCGAAAGCGUGGGUAGCAAACAGGAUUAGAUACCCUGGUAGUCCACGCUGUAAACGAUGGGUACUAGGUGUUGUGGGAAUUGACCCCCGCAGUGCCGACGCUAACGCAUUAAGUACCCCGCCUGGGAAGUACGGCCGCAAGGUUA